GAUACCCUAUUAUUAAAAAUGUAAUUUAUUCAGCUUAGAAUAUUAGUAGUUAUGAUCUUUAAAAUUAAAAAAUUUGGCGGUAUUUUAGUCUGUUCAGAGGAACCUGUUUUUUAAUCGAUAAUCCACGAUAAUUUUAACUUUAGUUUUAAAUUUAUAUAUCGUCGUUUAUAAAAAUUUUAGGAGGAUAAAUAAUUUUUGGGAUUUUUAAUUAAAAUAUAAUUCAGAUCAAGGUGUAGUUUAUAUUAAAGGUAAAAUGGGUUACAUUAUAUUUAUAUGUGGUUUUUAGUUUUUGAAAUUAAGAUAAAUUGGAUUUGAGAGUAAAAUUUUUAUUUUUGGAAUUUGAUUUAGCUCUAAAAUAUGCACACAUCGCC
rnacentral:rRNA from 1 species